rnacentral:lncRNA from 1 species
CCAGCCUGCUUAUCUCCACUGACAGCCACUCUCUCUGCAGUGUCUGGCCGACAGCUGCAGCCCAGGGAGCCAGAUGCAGAAACUGAAGAUGGCCACUCUGUGACUGAAGGGCCUGCAGAUGAGGUCAUUCGACCACGGCCACAGGGGUCCUCACCUGUCUACGAAUACACGACUGAGGCUGCUGACUUUGGACUCCAGGAAGACGCUCCCGGCAGGCAAGGUUCGGCUGGGAGACGGAGAUCCUGGUGGAAGUGGGAUUCAGGGG